rnacentral:rRNA from 1 species
GACGAACCGUGCGAACGUUGUUCGGAAUCACUGGGCUUAAAGCGCACGUAGGCGGCUUUGUAAGUUAGAGGUGAAAGCCCGGGGCUCAACUCCGGAAUUGCCUUUAAGACUGCAUCGCUAGAAUUGUGGAGAGGUAAGUGGAAUUCCGAGUGUAGAGGUGAAAUUCGUAGAUAUUCGGAAGAACACCAGUGGCGAAGACGACUUACUGGACACAUAUUGACGCUGAGGUGCGAAAGCGUGGGGAGCAAA